GCAAACUUGGUCAUUUAGAGGAAGUAAAAGUCGUAACAAGGUUUCCGUAGGUGAACCUGCGGAAGGAUCAUUCACAAUGAGUGUUCAAUGGCACUUUAAAUCCAUUACCCACCUUGUGUGCAAUGUAAGGAGGAGACAGAACGGUUAUGCGUUCUGUCACUUUCAUAUACUAUACCUAUCUUCAUUUCUCGUCUACUUUUGUAUGAGUAUAAAAAACUCUAAUACAACUUUCAACAACGGAUCUCUUGGCUCUCGCAUCGAUGAAGAACGCAGC
rnacentral:misc_RNA from 1 species